AACUAUCUCUGCUCAGCUGAAAGCGGAUAAUGAACAAGAACAUCAAUUUGUGCAAUAAGCUUUUGACUAGGAGAUAAAGUCUUGGAAUCAGCUUUGUGGGGGCAGGGCCUGAUCAUAAAUAUAACAGGAAUCAGAAGUGGAACUGUUUUUAAACGUCUCUGAGAGCUGUGAAAGAGAGAUUCUCCAUUUGGUGAAGGAAAAAUCUUCCAUUAGAGGCAGAUAAUGGCGUUCUUUAUAAAGCAUUUCACAUUAACCAGCUCUACAAAACAAGCUCCUGUGGAUGCAGUCACAUUAUCUGAGCCACUAAGUCUCCUGUGAAGCUGGUUUUAUAUACUCGGGGAAGCACCAAGCCCAAGCAGUUUUGAAUACCAGUGGAAAAACAAGACUCUCAGCAGUUCCAGGAAAAAUAAAUUAUUAAAGCCGAAAGAGAU
rnacentral:lncRNA from 1 species